CCUACGGGAGGCAGCAGUGGGGAAUUUUGGACAAUGGGCGAAAGCCUGAUCCAGCAAUGCCGCGUGCAGGAAGAAGGCCUUCGGGUUGUAAACUGCUUUUGUACGGAACGAAACGGUCUGCUUUAAUACAGUGGGCUAAUGACGGUACCGUAAGAAUAAGCACCGGCUAACUACGUGCCAGCAGCCGCGGUAAUACGUAGGGUGCGAGCGUUAAUCGGAAUUACUGGGCGUAAAGCGUGCGCAGGCGGUUAUAUAAGACAGUUGUGAAAUCCCCGGGCUCAACCUGGGAAUUGCAUCUGUGACUGUAUAGCUAGAGUACGGUAGAGGGGGAUGGAAUUCCGCGUGUAGCAGUGAAAUGCGUAGAUAUGCGGAGGAACACCGAUGGCGAAGGCAAUCCCCUGGACCUGUACUGACGCUCAUGCACGAAAGCGUGGGGAGCAAACAGGAUUAGAUACCCUGGUAGUCCACGCCCUAAACGAUGUCAACUGGUUGUUGGGUGCAUUAGUACUCAGUAACGAAGCUAACGCGUGAAGUUGACCGCCUGGGGAGUACGGCCGCAAGGUUGAAACUCAAAUGAAUUGACGG
rnacentral:rRNA from 1 species